AUGAACGCUAGCGGCAGGCUUAAUACAUGCAAGUCGAGGGGCAGCAGGGUGUAGCAAUACAUCGCUGGCGACCGGCAAACGGGUGCGGAACACGUACACAACUUUCCUUUAAGUGGGGAUAGCCCAGAGAAAUUUGGAUUAAUACCCCGUAAUAUUAUGAAGUGGCAUCAUUUUAUAAUUAUAGCUCCGGCGCUUGAAGAUGGGUGUGCGGCUGAUUAGGUAGUUGGCGGGGUAACGGCCCACCAAGCCUACGAUCAGUAACUGGUGUGAGAGCACGACCAGUCACACGGGCACUGAGACACGGGCCCGACUCCUACGGGAGGCAGCAGUAAGGAAUAUUGGUCAAUGGACGCAAGUCUGAACCAGCCAUGCCGCGUGAAGGAUGAAGGGUCCUCUGGAUUUAGUAAACUUUCUUUUAUUUGGGAAGAAAUCCAUAUUUUCUAAUGUGGUUGACGGUACCAGAUGAAUAAGCACCGGCUAACUCCGUGCCAGCAGCCGCGGUAAC
rnacentral:rRNA from 1 species